GACCGGCGCACGGGUGAGUAACGCGUAUCCAACCUUCCGUACACUCAGGGAUAGCCUUUCGAAAGAAAGAUUAAUACCUGAUAGUAUCUUAAGCACAUAUGUAAUUAAGAUUAAAGAUUUAUCGGUGUACGAUGGGGAUGCGUUCCAUUAGGUAGUAGGCGGGGUAACGGCCCACCUAGCCAACGAUGGAUAGGGGUUCUGAGAGGAAGGUCCCCCACAUUGGAACUGAGACACGGUCCAAACUCCUACGGGAGGCAGCAGUGAGGAAUAUUGGUCAAUGGACGAGAGUCUGAACCAGCCAAGUAGCGUGAAGGAUGAAGGUCCUACGGAUUGUAAACUUCUUUUAUAAGGGAAUAAACCCUCCCACGUGUGGGAGCUUGUAUGUACCUUAUGAAUAAGCAUCGGCUAACUCCGUGCCAGCAGCCGCGGUAAUACGGAGGAUGCGAGCGUUAUCCGGAUUUAUUGGGUUUAAAGGGAGCGCAGACGGGUCGUUAAGUCAGCUGUGAAAGUUUGGGGCUCAACCUUAAAAUUGCAGUUGAUACUGGCGUCCUUGAGUGCGGUUGAGGUGUGCGGAAUUCGUGGUGUAGCGGUGAAAUGCUUAGAUAUCACGAAGAACUCCGAUUGCGAAGGCAGCACACUAAUCCGUAACUGACGUUCAUGCUCGAAAGUGUGGGUAUCAAACAGGAUUAGAUACCCUGGUAGUCCACACGGU
rnacentral:rRNA from 1 species